ACUGAGCGGCGGACGGGUGAGUAACGCGUGGGUAACCUGCCUCGUACAGGGGGAUAACAGUUGGAAACGGCUGCUAAUACCGCAUAAGACCACAGCACCGCAUGGUGCGGGGGUAAAAACUCCGGUGGUAUGAGAUGGACCCGCGUCUGAUUAGCUAGUUGGUAAGGUAACGGCUUACCAAGGCGACGAUCAGUAGCCGACCUGAGAGGGUGACCGGCCACAUUGGGACUGAGACACGGCCCAA
rnacentral:rRNA from 1 species